rnacentral:ncRNA from 1 species
GCGGUGACGCAGGGUCUGAAGGAAGUCGGCGGCAAAUCCCUGGCUCGACGAACAGGAACUUGAUACAAGGCUGGCUGACAGGAGGUGAGUCUGCAGCACAAGACAAAGCCCUAUAGCCAUUCGGACUGUCAGCAAGUAAAUCAAGCGAGCAUAAGGGUGAAAGAGC